CAGACUCCUUUUGGACCAGCAGAUCGGUAAGACUCUCCCUUACAGCAGAUCGGGAGGAUGGCCAACGUCCAGGUGCCUGUUGUGGCCAUCGGUGCGUUUGGGGACAGUCCUGUCCAGAUGACCUGUCCUACCUGUCACCAGACCGUGGUCACUAAGGUUGACUUCUCCUCUGGUGUCCUCACCUACCUCUUCUGUGGAGGACUCUUCUUCUGUGGGUAUGUACAAGAGUGUGUGUGUGGUGUGUAGUGUGUGUGUGUGUGUGUGUGUGUGUGUGUAGUGUGUAUGUAGUGUGUGUGUGUGUGUGUGUGUGUGUGUGUGUAGUGUGUAUGUAGUGUGUGUGUGUGUGCAUGUAGUGUGUGUGCAUGUAGUGUGUGUGUGUGUGUGUGUGUGUGUGUGUGUGUGUGUGUAGUGUGUGUGUAGUGUGUGUGUAGUGUGUGUGUGUAGUGUGUGUGUGUGUGUGUAUGUAGUGUGUGUGUGUAGUGUGUAUGUAGUGUGUGUGUGUAGUGUGUGUGUAGUGUGUGUGUAGUGUGUGUGUGUGUAGUGUGUAUGUAGUGUGUGUGUGCAUGUGGUGUGUGUGUAGUGUGUGUGUAGUGUGUGUGUGUGUGUGUGUGUGUGUGUGUGUGUGUGUGUAGUGUGUGUGCAUGUGGUGUGUGUGUAGUGUGUGUGUGUAGUGUGUGGGGUGAAAGCCAAUCCUACUGUUUGUCAGUGGGUUCAGGUCAGGCACCACAGGCAUCAAUCUAGCAAUUUUGCAAUCCAUUAAUAUUAGUAAUUUUCACAAAAUAAACAAACAAAUGUCAAACUUGAUGAAAAUGUAUGUAUUUGUUUUUGUUUAUCAU
rnacentral:lncRNA from 1 species